rnacentral:pre_miRNA from 1 species
GUGGUACUCCCUCCGAUGCUAAAUUGUUGUCGAAAUAUUACAUGUAUCUAGGCACCUUUGAAGAGUAGAUACGUUCAUAUUUAGACAAAUUUGAGACAAGAAUUUAGGAUCGGAGGGAGUACCUU